UACGAAGGGGACUAGCGUUGUUCGGAAUUACUGGGCGUAAAGCGCACGUAGGCGGAUUUGUAAGUCAGGGGUGAAAUCCCGGGGCUCAACCUCGGAACUGCCUUUGAUACUGCAAAUCUCGAGUCCGAUAGAGGUGGGUGGAAUUCCUAGUGUAGAGGUGAAAUUCGUAGAUAUUAGGAAGAACACCGGUGGCGAAGGCGGCCCACUGGAUCGGUACUGACGCUGAGGUGCGAAAGCGUGGGGAGCGAACAGG
rnacentral:rRNA from 1 species